rnacentral:rRNA from 1 species
AUACGGAGGAUGCGAGCGUUAUCCGGAUUUAUUGGGUUUAAAGGGAGCGUAGGUGGGAUAUUAAGUCAGCUGUGAAAGUUUGGGGCUCAACCUUAAAAUUGCAGUUGAUACUGGUUUCCUUGAGUACGGUACAGGUGGGCGGAAUUCGUGGUGUAGCGGUGAAAUGCUUAGAUAUCACGAAGAACUCCAAUCGCGAAGGCAGCUCACCGGGCCGGAACUGACACUGAUGCUCGAAAGUGCGGGUAUCAAACAGGAUUAGAUACCCUGGUAGUCCGCACAGUAAACGAUGAAUACUCGCUGUUUGCGAUACACUGUAAGCGGCCAAGCGAAAGCGUUAAGUAUUCCACCUGGGGAGUACGCCGGCAACGGUGAAACUCAAAGGAAUUGACGGGG